AUCGUUCAACUUACUCAUUUGUAAGUCGGAAGUAAGCGAAAGCUGAAGGAACGCAUG
ncrna:unclassified sequences Glutamine riboswitch